AGCGAACGCUGGCGGCAGGCUUAACACAUGCAAGUCGAACGCCAUCUUCGGAUGGAGUGGCAGACGGGUGAGUAACGCGUGGAAACAUACCUUUUGCUUCGGAAUAUUCCCGGGAAACUGGGCGCAAUACCGAAUACGCCCUGAGGGGGAAAGAUUUAUCGGCAAAAGAUUGGUCCGCGUUAGAUUAGGUAGUUGGUAGGGUAAUGGCCUACCAAGCCUACGGUCUAUAGCUGGUCUGAGAGGAUGAUCAGCCACAUUGGGACUGAGACACGGCCCAAACUCCUACGGGAGGCAGCAGUGGGGAAUAUUGGACAAUGGGCGAAAGCCUGAUCCAGCCAUGCCGCGUGAAUGAUGAAGGCCUUAGGGUUGUAAAAUUCUUUCACCGGGGACGAUAAUGACGGUACCCGGAGAAGAAGCCCCGGCUAACUUCGUGCCAGCCGCCGCAGUAA
rnacentral:rRNA from 1 species